ACGAACCCUUGCCCCCCACUCUCUUCCCAAAACCUUACGAGUCGCAACUCGUUCCUCCAAACACGUUCUCUCUCUCUCUCUCUCUCUCUCUCUCUCUCUCUCGGUGCAAUUCAUCGUCGCCCUCUUCGUGCGAUUCUCUCAUCUCAAUUCUCUAGGAUCGGGUGAUGGCUGGGCAGAGAAAUCACCAUGGAAAGCGGCAAUCUGACUAUCCUGACAAUGGGGGAAGUAAGAGACGACAUCCCGGAGAAGAAAGAGAUACUUAUGUUCCAGGCCCAGAAGACACCGUUUACCGUUUGUUGUGUCCAGGAAAAAAGAUAGGAAGCAUUAUUGGGAGGGGCGGUGAGAUAGUGAAGCAGUUGAGGGCCGACACGCAAUCCAGGAUCAGGAUUGGCGAAAGCGUUCCCGGCUGCGAUGAGCGCGUCAUUACAAUUUUCAGUGCGAGCAGGGAAACUAACACUUUUGAAGAUAGCGAUGAGAAGGCUUGCCCUGCACAAGAUGCUCUAUUUAGAGUGCACGAGAGGCUCGUUACAGAUGAGAUGCCUGAUGAUGAGAACGAAGCUGGCUCUCCUCAAGUUAGUGUACGUCUGCUCGUGCCGUCUGAUCAGAUAGGAUGCAUUAUUGGGAAAGGAGGCCAAAUCAUCCAAGGAAUCCGUAGUGAUACUGGUGCCCAAAUUCGUAUUCUAAAGAAUGAGCAUCUGCCUGCUUGUGCCAUUAGUGGCGAUGAACUUCUGCAGAUCACUGGGGAUGCCUCGAUCGUAAAGAAGGCACUCUUUCAAAUUUCAUCUCGCCUGCAUGACAACCCAUCUCGUUCACAGCACUUGCUUGCGUCCAGCAUGUCCCAAGGAUAUCCUGGUCAGUUUGGUGCCAGUGCACCUGUUGUAGGGAUGGGCCCCAUUAUUAGUCCCUAUGGCGGGUACAAAGGUGAUGUGGGUGGAGACUGGCCGCCAUUCUACCCCCCUUCCCGGGAUGAAAGCUCUGCAAAGGAGUUUAGCUUGCGCCUCCUUUGUCGCUCUGCUAACUUAGGUGGUGUGAUUGGCAAGGGUGGUGUUAUUAUUAAGCAGAUCCGGCAGGAAUCUGGUGCUUUCAUCAAGGUAGAUAGUACUGCCGCAGAAGAUGACAGCAUUAUUUUGAUAUCUGCAAAGGAGUUCUUUGAAGAUCCAAUCUCUCCUUCGAUAGAUGCAGCAGUUCGCCUGCAACCUAGAUGCAGUGAGAAAAAUGAGGCAGAGUCUGGAGAACCCACAUACACCACCCGUUUACUUGUAUCAACAUCACGCAUUGGUUGUCUUAUUGGCAAAGGUGGAUCAAUCAUAUCUGAAAUGAGGAGAGGUACAAAAGCAAAUAUCCGCGUACUUUCAAAAGAGAAUGUCCCAAAAGUUGCUGCCGAAGAUGAUGAGAUGGUUCAAAUUACCGGAGAGCUUGAUGUCGCUAGAAAUGCUCUUGUGCAAAUAACAACUCGGCUAAAGGCCAAUUUCUUUGAAAGGGAGGGUGCUUUACCGCCCUUUCCACCGCCGCCUGUUCCCUACCAUCCGUUGCCGAGCAGUGCUUCCGAUGGCUCUAAAUAUUCAAGCAGGGAUGGUAAGGUGCAUGGACGGGGUUAUUCUUACUCUGGUGGAUAUGGUGGUUCUAGCGAAGUGCUUCCUUCUGAAAAAUAUGGCAGCUAUGGUGGUUCUCAGGGUGGCGGAAGCAGUUAUGGAUCGUAUAGUGGUUAUUCUGGCCGCUACAGCGGCAGUGGGUUAUCUGGUUCUAAUUCUGUUCCUCUUGGAAAGCAUCAUGGUUAUUAGAAACCAAAAGUGUUAGGGCCAACAGGUGAUUUUGGUGACUUCUCAACCACGAGCUAGUCCUGCCAAAAGUGCAUACUAAUCACACAGUAAAGUAUGGUAUCUGAAUAGCCUGACAAAUUAGCAAACCAUUGGUUGAGGCUGUUUUUGAGCUAUCACAAUUUGAGAACUUUGAAAUUGUCAACUGUUUUGCAGGUUCUUUGGAGGGUUAUUGCUUUUGAAGGCCGGUAGGUAAGCUAUCAUGUACUAAAAUGCUGAGAUGUUAAGUACUUGGAGCCUGUUCGGUCUGCUGGAGCUUCUGCAAAUGGUCAUUUGAAUAUAGCUGUUUGAGAGAGCACUAAUAGCUUUUAAAUAAAAUCCUCUCAAUAGCUUCUCACUGCAGUAGAAACUGAAGCUUCCAUUUGCAGCUUCUGUUUUUUGACUGGGAGCAUUUUUAGCUUCAUGCUGCAGAAAAAGCUCUAGAAAUUUGUUUGUCAAAAACCAGCCUACUCGUAGUAGAGACGUUGCUCCAGAAGCUAGGCCAAACAAAUGCUUGAUGGUUUUUCGGGAUAGUAUACAUACACGUCUCUCUUGGUAGGUAUGGUAAUGAAUCAACUUCUAUAGUAUUUCGCCAAUUAUAAUUUAGUCUGCACUGAUAUCUAAUCAGCUUAAACUGGGAAUCUGUUUUCUGCAUUCCCUGAUUUCAUGAUCUCAUAAACAAUCAGAAAUUACUCUUAAGGACUAGAAAUUUUUGGUGAGAUGAAUUUUGUUUAGGGAUAGGUAAUUUCCUGCUUUUAUAUUGAUAUGAUUUAUGCAAGUCCGAAGCAUUAGAUGAAGGUCGGGAAAAGGCAUUAUAUGAUCAGUUUUACUUUUUUCGCAGUAUCACGUACUAAUGAAUAAAUUAUAAGGUCUGUUACACAUUAGAUGGCGAAUUUUCAUGUCUCGAAUUCCAGAAUUAGCUCUAUAUGCUGCUUAUCUAACUAUAGGUAGUUUGGUGUACUUCGGUUGAAUUUGCAAUAACCGAUUCGCAAAUAGGGAGAUGCAAAUGAGUAAAUAUGGCAUUGAUUUGCGGUCUAGUAGAGUGCAUUGUUUUGUUUUAUUGUGGUCAUUAUUUUAUUUCACAUGGCUGUAUUCUAUGGUUUUCGUUUCAAUCCCUAAGAUUUGUGUUUUUUUUCCCCCUCUCCAAUGGCAUCGUUCUCUUUUUUUAAUAUUUUUCGUCGUCGAAAGCUAUGCUGACGACUGUUUAGAUGAAAGAUUUGGAUAAAGAACUUUGAUAUAAGCUAUAUAUCUGUAUAGAGGCAUAACUGUUGUCAUAUUGCAAUUUUGCAACUCUUGUUCCUUGGGAAUUCAGUGUAUGUUCUAAAUCAAGCUAAGUUUCAGUAAAGCAGAAACACGUGUAGAAACAUUGUCUAAUGUGUUAUUGGAGUCUUCUACUGUGCUCAUUAUCGUUA